AGAUUUUUGCACCAACAGGAUUGGCGCUAGAGGAAGGGUUGUGUCUUCACUGUACCCUUGUUCUUAAAGGAGCGCUCAAUGGGACCGCCCCGGGCAUCUUUUCCGACGUCCUCUCCUCCUUCCUCCACUUGGUCUUUGCCCGAUGCCUCCCCGCAAGGCAUCCAUGCGAUGAUCCACGGCCUCUGCGGCCAGAUCUCAGAUUCCAACCUCACCUCCAGUUUCCCAGCCUCCUCCUCCUCCUCCGACAACGGUGGUUGGCGCGGAGC
rnacentral:lncRNA from 1 species